rnacentral:lncRNA from 1 species
UGUACUACCAUAUGCAUCUUAAUCCCAUGCCAGAAGGACUCCUCCUUCUGCCAACACCAAAACUUGCACGCAAAACCUAUUUUGCACCAAGAGUCCUUCAUAAUUUGAACUCUUCAUAAUUGGCAUUAACAUAGAAUAUGGUGCCCCAAUUUAGGCUGCUUCCAGGUGGCAUGACUUGACCUAAAUACCCACCAAAUUGAGCUAGCUAAUUAACAAAGGAUG